CAGUACCGUGAGGGAAAGGUGAAAAGCACCCCGGAAGGGGAGUGAAAGAGAUCCUGAAACCGUGUGCCUACAAAUAGUCAGAGCCCGUUAAUGGGUGAUGGCGUGCCUUUUGUAGAAUGAACCGGCGAGUUACGAUCCCGUGCGAGGUUAAGCUGAAGAGGCGGAGCCGCAGCGAAAGCGAGUCUGAAUAGGGCGUUUAGUACGUGGUCGUAGACCCGAAACCAGGUGAUCUACCCAUGUCCAGGGUGAAGUUCAGGUAACACUGAAUGGAGGCCCGAACCCACGCACGUU
rnacentral:rRNA from 1 species